GGGUUAGUAGGUUGGUCAUGCCUCCGGUAUGUACUGGCUUCACUGAUUCCUCCUUCCUGAUGAGCCGUAAUGCCAUUAAUUUGGUGUUGCGAGGAAUCUGGACUGUUACUUUGAAAAAAUUAGAGUGUUUAAAGCAGGCUAACGCUUGAAUACAUUAGCAUGGAAUAAUGAAAUAGGACGUUCGAUCCUAUUUUGUUGGUUUCUAGGAUCGACGUA
rnacentral:rRNA from 1 species